rnacentral:rRNA from 1 species
UACGGGAGUGGCAAGCGUUAUCCGGAAUUAUUGGGCGUAAAGCGUCCGCAGGCGGUCUGUCAAGUCUGCUGUUAAAGCGUGGAGCUUAACUCCAUUAAGGCAGUGGAAACUGACAGACUAGAGUGUGGUAGGGGCAGAGGGAAUUCCCGGUGUAGCGGUGAAAUGCGUAGAUAUCGGGAAGAACACCAGUGGCGAAGGCGCUCUGCUGGGCCAUAACUGACGCUCAUGGACGAAAGCCAGGGGAGCGAAAGGGAUUAGAUACCCCUGUAGUCCUGGCCGUAAACGAUGAACACUAGGUGUCGGGGGAAUCGACCCCCUCGGUGUCGUAGCCAACGCGUUAAGUGUUCCGCCUGGGGAGUACGCACGCAAGUGUGAAACUCAAAGGAAUUGACGGGGGCCCGCACAAGCGGUGGAGUAUGUGGUUUAAUUCGAUGCAACGCGAAGAACCUUACCAGGGUUUGACAUCCUGCGAAUCUCUUGGAAACGAGAGAGUGCCUUCGGGAACGCAGUGACAGGUGGUGCAUGGCUGUCGUCAGCUCGUGUCGUGAGAUGUUGGGUUAAGUCCCGCAACGAGCGCAACCCACGUCGUUAGUUGCCAGCAUUUAGCUGGGCACUCUAGCGAGACCGCCGGUGAUAAACCGGAGGAAGGUGUGGAUGACGUCAAGUCAUCAUGCCCCUUACAUCCUGGGCUACACACGUACUACAAUGCUACGGACAAAGGGCAGCAAACUCGCGAGAGCUAGCAAAUCCCAUAAACCGUGGCUCAGUUCAGAUCGUAGGCUGCAACUCGCCUACGUGAAGGAGGAAUCGCUAGUAAUCGCAGGUCAGCAUACUGCGGUGAAUACGUUCCCGGGCCU